rnacentral:rRNA from 1 species
UACGUAGGAGGCAAGCGUUGUCCGGAAUUACUGGGCGUAAAGCGCGUGUAGGUGGUGGGACAAGUCUGCUGUGAAAGCGCCUGGCUUAACCGGGCGAGGUCGGCGGAAACUGUUCGACUCGAGGACGGUAGAGGGGGGUGGAAUUCCCGGUGUAGUGGUGAAAAUGCGUAGAGAUCGGGAGGAACACCUGUGGCGAAGGCGGCUUUCUGGGCCCUACCUGACGCUGAGACGCGAAAGCGUGGGGAGCGAACCGGG